AUUGAACGCUGGCGGCAGGCCUAACACAUGCAAGUCGAACGGUAACAGAAAGCAGCUUGCUGCUUUGCUGACGAGUGGCGGACGGGUGAGUAAUGUCUGGGAAACUGCCUGAUGGCGGGGGAUAACUACUGGAAACGGUAGCUAAUACCGCAUAACGUCGCAAGACCAAAGAGGGGGACCUUCUGGCCUCUUGCCAUCGGAUGUGCCCCGAUGGGAUUAGCUAGUAGGUGGGGUAAAGGCUCACCUAGGCGACGAUCCCUAGCUGGUCUGAGAGGAUGACCAGCCACACUGGAACUGAGACACGGUCCAGACUCCUACGGGAGGCAGCAGUGGGGAAUAUUGCACAAUGGGCGCAAGCCUGAUGCAGCCAUGCCGCGUGUAUGAAGAAGGCCUUCGGGUUGUAAAGUACUUUCAGCGGGGAGGAAGGGAGUAAAGUUAAUACCUCUGCUCAUUGACGUUACCCGAAGAAGAAGCACCGGCUAACUCCGUG
rnacentral:rRNA from 1 species